AACGAACGCUGGCGGCAGGCUUAACACAUGCAAGUCGAGCGCCCCGCAAGGGGAGCGGCAGACGGGUGAGUAACGCGUGGGAAUCUACCGUGCCCUACGGAAUAGCUCCGGGAAACUGGAAUUAAUACCGUAUACGCCCUACGGGGGAAAGAUUUAUCGGGGUAUGAUGAGCCCGCGUGGAUUAGCUAGUUGGUGGGGUAAAGGCCUACCAAGGCGACGAUCCAUAGCUGGUCUGAGAGGAUGAUCAGCCACAUUUGGACUGAGACACGGCCCAAACUCCGACGGGAGGCAGCAGUGGGGAAUAUUGGACAAUGGGCGCAAGCCUGAUCCAGCCAUGCCGCGUGAGUGAUGAAGGUCUUAGGAUUGUAAAGCUCUUUCACCGGUGAAGAUAAUGACGGUAACCGGAGAAGAAGCCCCGGCUAACUUCGUGCCAGCAGCCGCCGUAA
rnacentral:rRNA from 1 species